rnacentral:tRNA from 1 species
GCCAGCAUAGCUCAAUGGUAGAGCGUCUCUUUCGUAAAGAGAAGGUUGCGGGUUCAAGCCCCGCUGCUGGCU